UACGUAGGGUGCAAGCGUUAUCCGGAAUUAUUGGGCGUAAAGAGCUCGUAGGCGGUUUGUCGCGUCUGCUGUGAAAACUGGAGGCUCAACCUCCAGCCUGCAGUGGGUACGGGCAGACUAGAGUGCGGUAGGGGAGAUUAGAAUUCCUGGUGUAGCGGUGGAAUGCGCAGAUAUCAGGAGGAACACCGAUGGCGAAGGCAGAUCUCUGGGCCGUAACUGACGCUGAGGAGCGAAAGCAUGGGGAGCGAACAGG
rnacentral:rRNA from 1 species